rnacentral:rRNA from 1 species
GUAGGUGAACCUGCGGAAGGAUCAUUACCGAGUUGAUUCGGGCUCCGUCCCGAUCCUCCCACCCUUUGUAUACCUACCUCUGUUGCUUUGGCGGGCCGCGGUCUUCCGCGGCCGCCCCCCGAUUUUGGGGGGUGGCUAGUGCCCGCCAGAGGACUAUCAAACUCCAGUCAGUAAACGUUGCAGUCUGAAAAAAAUAUUAAAUAAACUAAAACUUUCAACAACGGAUCUCUUGGUUCUGGCAUCGAUGAAGAACGCAGCGAAAUGCGAUAAGUAAUGUGAAUUGCAGAAUUCAGUGAAUCAUCGAAUCUUUGAACGCACAUUGCGCCCCUUGGUAUUCCGGGGGGCAUGCCUGUUCGAGCGUCAUUUCAACCCUCAAGCUCUGCUUGGUAUUGGGCACCGUCCUUUGCGGGCGCGCCUCAAAGACCUCGGCGGUGGCGUCUUGCCUCAAGCGUAGUAGAAUACACCUCGCUUCGGAGCGUAAGGCGUCGCCCGCCGGACGAACCUUCUGAACUUUUCUCAAGGUUGACCUCGGAUCAGGUAGGGAUACCCGCUGAACUUAAGCAUAUCAUARACCSGR